rnacentral:rRNA from 1 species
UUGAACGCUGGCGGCAUGCCUUACCCAUGCCAGUCGAACGGCAGCACGGGUGCUUGCCCCUGGUGGCGAGUGGCGAACGGGUGAGUAAUACAUCGGAACAUGUCCUGUAGUGGGGGAUAGCCCGGCGAAAGCCGGAUUAAUACCGCAUACGAUCUACGGAUGAAAGCGGGGGACCUUCGGGCCUCGCGCUAUAGGGUUGGCCGAUGGCUGAUUAGCUAGUUGGUGGGGUAAAGGCCUACCAAGGCGACGAUCAGUAGCUGGUCUGAGAGGACGACCAGCCACACUGGGACUGAGACACGGCCCAGACUCCUACGGGAGGCAGCAGUGGGGAAUUUUGGACAAUGGGCGAAAGCCUGAUCCAGCAAUGCCGCGUGUGUGAAGAAGGCCUUCGGGUUGUAAAGCACUUUUGUCCGGAAAGAAAUCCUUGGCCCUAAUACGGUCGGGGGAUGACGGUACCGGAAGAAUAAGCACCGGCUAACUACGUG